rnacentral:pre_miRNA from 10 species
UCUCAGGCUGUGACCCUCUAAAGGGAAGCGCUUUCUGUGGUCAGAAAGAAAAGCAAGUGCUUCCUUUUAGAGGGUUACCGUUUGGGA